AUUGAACGCUGGCGGCGUGCUUAACACAUGCAAGUCGAACGAAGUGGCGAACGGGUGAGUAAUACGUGAGUAACCUGCCCUCCUUUUUGGGAUAAGCCUUGGAAACGGGGUCUAAUACCGGAUAAAGGGGGAUGGGUUCGCGGCCUAUCAGCUUGUUGGUGGGGUGAUGGCCUAACAAGGCUGUGCCGGGUAGCAGGGCUGAGAGGGGGACCUGCCACAUUGGUACUGAGAACCGGGCCAGACUGCUACGGGAGGCGGCAGUGGGGGAUAUUGCACAAUGGGCGAUAGCCUGAUGCAGCGACUGCGCGUGGGGGAUGAAGGCUUUCGGGUUGUAAACCUCUUUCUCAAUCGAACGGGUAGGUGUAGAAGACGCUCCGGCUAACUACGUGCCAGCAGCCGCGGUAAUUC
rnacentral:rRNA from 1 species